UGGCGAACGGGUGAGUAACGCGUGAGGAACCUGCCUCAAAGAGGGGGACAACAGUUGGAAACGACUGCUAAUACCGCAUAAGCCCACGACCCGGCAUCGGGUAGAGGGAAAAGGAGCAAUCCGCUUUGAGAUGGCCUCGCGUCCGAUUAGCUGUUGGUGAGGUAACGGCCCACCAAGGCACGAUCGGUAGCCGGACUGAGAGGUUGAACGGCCACAUUGGGACUGAGACACGGCCCAG
rnacentral:rRNA from 1 species